AGAAUCAACGCUGGCGGCGUGCCUAACACAUGCAAGUCGAACGAGAAAGUGGAGCAAUCCAUGAGUAAAGUGGCGACCGGGUGAGUAACACGUGACCAAUCUACCCUUGAGUGGGGGAUAACCUCGGGAAACCGGGGCUAAUACCGCAUAACAUCCUUGGAACGGAAGUACUGGGGAUCAAAGGAGCAAUUCGCUUAAGGAGGAGGUCGCGGCUGAUUAGCUAGUUGGCGGGGUAAUGGCCCACCAAGGCAAAGAUCGGUAGCCGGCCUGAGAGGGCGCACGGCCACACUGGAACUGAAACACGGUCCAGACUCCUACGGGAGGCAGCAGUGGGGAAUUUUGCGCAAUGGGGGAAACCCUGACGCAGCAACGCCGCGUGGAGGAUGAAGUCCCUUGGGACGUAAACUCCUUUCGACCCGGACGAUAAUGACGGUACGGGUGGAAGAAGCCCCGGCUAACUUCGUGCCAGCAGCCGC
rnacentral:rRNA from 1 species